GACGUAGGGCGCGAGCGUUGUCCGGAUUUAUUGGGCGUAAAGAGCUCGUAGGCGGCUUGUUGCGUCGACCGUGAAAACCCGGGGCUCAACUUCGGGCUUGCGGUCGAUACGGGCGGGCUAGAGUUCGGUAGGGGAGACUGGAAUUCCUGGUGUAGCGGUGAAAUGCGCAGAUAUCAGGAGGAACACCGGUGGCGAAGGCGGGUCUCUGGGCCACUACUGACGCUGAGAAGCGAAAGCAUGGGGAGCGAACAGG
rnacentral:rRNA from 1 species